rfam:TPA: Bos taurus chromosome 23, whole genome shotgun sequence.
UCCCUGGUUGUGUAGCGGUUAAGACUCUGCACUUCCACUGCAGGGGACACAGGUUUGAUCCCUGGUCAGGGAA